rnacentral:lncRNA from 1 species
AUAUUUAUUUAUUUUUAUUUUUUUUUCUCUCCUCAUAGCAUGUUAAAUGUCAAACACUUUAUUUUGUCCUGCUUGCGCUAGUAAUGUGUAAAAGGUAAGAUGGAGAGAUGUAAGCAGGUUCUAGUUUAAAAGACACCUGUGAGCCUCGCAUCUGAUCCUGGGGCUGUUUUGAGUGUGCAGUGCAGUGGGCCCGGGAUGCAACUAAUGCAACAGCGGAGCAGCGACUCUAACCCUCUCUCAGCAACAGCCAGGUAUCCCUUUUUGUUGAGUAAUUGAAUACUUUUCUCUUAUCAGCUGGGUCUUGUCUAGUUCCUCAUUAAAUUAACUUGCUUAUCAGCUGGAUCCUCUCUUUUCUUUGUGGAAGAAUUGUCUUAUCAUUUGGAGUGUGUCAUAUUCUUAUCUUCUAUGUAUAUACAUGCAUUGCUCUAGAAGAAACACAAAGGCCAGGAAGAUUUCAGAUUGAUAAUGAUUGUUGCAAAUAGAUUUAGAAUAAAACUAGGUUAUGAAUUGAGGAGGAUCAAAUGUAAUUUUAUUAAUUAUUGAAAUGCUUUUGAAAAAAAUACUCUGAAAUAUUGAUACUAAAGUCAGUGUGAAUUGGCAGAAUAUAAACUUUUUUUUACUUCUACAAGAAAAUGACCUGUAGUUUGAAUAAUGAUCCAUGAUUCUUUGAGGAUUGUGCUUAUCUGAUGAGUGAUAAAAAGUUAACUUGGGUUUGGUUCUGCCUUAACUGCAUAUCUGGCAUUAAUUUGACUUUGAUAAGUUGAAAAUAAUGGGAGUGUUUUGUUUAGAAGAGAUGAGGAUUUCUUAUUCUGGUAAAUUAGGCCAAGUGAUAAUGUUCAGAAAAUCAAAAGCAGAAGCUGCCAUAAGGUACACAAGUUACUUUUGGAGUUGUUUGGUGAUUUAUGCAAGGUUUAGGGUAGAUUAUCAUGGAUUAAUGUAAUUGCUAAUUUGCCAUUAGUUAAUUGACAAGGGAUUACAGGCUUUUAACAUUUGCAUAAACCAAGUGAAUACACUAAGGUUAUAAAUAUUUGAAGACAAACUGACUGAUUGACUUACUGAAGUGACUGACAGACAGAUCAAUCUAUUGAUAGAUAGAUAGAUAGAUAGUUGGAUAAAUCAAUCAGUUAGUCAACAAAGUAUGAAAGAGAAUGAAAGAGAGUCACAGAUAGACAAACUGAUUUAUAAACUAGGAGAGAGAGAGAGAGAGAGAGAGAGAGAGAGAGAGAGAGAGAGAGAGAGAGAGAGAGAGAGAGAGAGAGAAAUGGAGACAGAGGUAACAUACAUAAAGGAGUGACUGACUGACCAACAGAUCACAGGAAAAGACUAAUAGAUAGUAAGAAAAGCCCAAUAAAUCAGGGGAAAGACCAACAGUUAUCAGGAAAAGACCAACAGUUAUCAGGGAAAGACCAUCAGUUAUCAGGG